UACGUAGGGCGCAAGCGUUGUCCGGAAUUAUUGGGCGUAAAGAGCUCGUAGGCGGCUUGUCACGUCGGUUGUGAAAGCCCGAGGCUUAACCUCGGGUCUGCAGUCGAUACGGGCUAGCUAGAGUGUGGUAGGGGAGAUCGGAAUUCCUGGUGUAGCGGUGAAAUGCGUAGAUAUCCGAAGGAACAUCAGUGGCGAAAGCGGCUUCCUGGACCAGAACUGACGAUCAGGCACGAAAGCGUGGGGAGCAAACAGG
rnacentral:rRNA from 1 species